UACUAGAGUAGCACUCGCAUAUCAAUAAGCGGAGGAAAAGAAACUAACAAGGAUUCCCCUAGUAACGGCGAGUGAAGCGGGAAGAGCUCAAAUUUGAAAUCUUAAAGGGUUUCCCUUUACGAAUUGUAGUUUAAAGAAGUGUUUUCUGUUGAGGUUUUGGUAAAAGUUCUUUGGAAUAGGACAUCAUAGAGGGUGAGAAUCCCGUAUUUGACCUUUACUUUCAACUUUGUGAUACACUUUCAAAGAGUCGGAUUGUUUGGGAAUGCGGUCCAAAAUGGGUGGUAAAUUUCAUCUAAAGCUAAAUAUUGGCGAGAGACCGAUAGCGAACAAGUACCGUGAGGGAAAGAUGAAAAGAACUUUGAAAAGAGAGUUAAACAGUACGUGAAAUUGUCAAAAGGGAAGCGUUUGACACCAGUGUUGUUUUUCUGAAAAUCAAUUAAAGAACUGUUUAUGCUAAGCUGUUUAGACUUUAUCAGCUAACUGUUUAGUUUUGAGCUUUUCUUUAAUGCACUUUUCAGUUAACAAGUCAACAUCAAUUUCUUUUGCUGUAAAAAAGCUUGAGGAAGGUGGCUUGAGAUUCGUCUUAAGUGUUUAUAGCCUCUUGCCUAUGCAGUCGGAGAGAUUGAGGUCUGCAGCGUAGAUCCUUCGGGGCUAAAUGCAUUUGUGCUAAGUUAUAGCAUUUUAUAGACAACUUGUUGACUAUGAUUUGUCUUGUAGCUUACUCGCUUAUGUUAUUUUACCUACGCUUAGGAUGUUGAUAUCGCGCUCUCACUG
rnacentral:rRNA from 1 species